CUACGGAGGGUGCAAGCGUUAUUCGGAAUCACUGGGCGUAAAGCGCGCGCAGGCGGCUAUUUAAGUUGGAUGUGAAAGCCUACGGCUCAACCGUAGAACUGCAUCCAAAACUAUUUAGCUAGAGUGUGGGAGAGGAAGAUGGAAUUAGUUGUGUAGGGGUAAAAUCCGUAGAGAUAACUAGGAAUACCAAAAGCGAAGGCAAUCUUCUGGAACACUACUGACGCUGAGGCGCGAAAGCGUGGGUAGCAAACAGGAUUAGAAACCCUAGUAGUCC
rnacentral:rRNA from 1 species